UACAGAGGUCUCAAGCGUUGUUCGGAUUCAUUGGGCGUAAAGCGCACGUAGGCGGUUCGUUAAGUCGGAUGUGAAAUCCCUCGGCUCAACUGAGGAAGUGCAUCCGAAACUGGCAAGCUUGAGUACGAAAGAGGGUCGCGGAAUUCCCGGUGUAGAGGUGAAAUUCGUAGAUAUCGGGAGGAACACCGGUGGCGAAGGCGGCGACCUGGGUCGAUACUGACGCUGAGGUGCGAAAGCGUGGGGAGCAAACAGG
rnacentral:rRNA from 1 species